CCUACGGGUGGCAGCAGUAGGGAAUCUUUCACAAUGGGCGAAAGCCUGAUGGAGCAACGCCGCGUGCAGGAUGAAGGCCUUCGGGUUGUAAACUGCUUUUAUAAGCGAGAAAUAUGAUGGUAAUUUAUGAAUAAGGAUCGGCGAACUACGUGCCAGCAGCCGCGGUCAUACGUAGGAUCCGAGCAUUAUCCGGAGUAACUGGGUGUAAAAAGUUGCGUAGGUGGCAUAAUAAGUACAUAGUGAAAUCUGGUGGCUCAACCAUUCAGACUAUUAGCUAAACUGUUAAGCUCGAGACCGUUAGGGGUAACUAGAAUUUCUAGUGUAGGAGUGAAAUGCGUAGAGAUUAGAAGGAACACCAAUAGCGUAGGCAGGUUACUGGGACGGUUCUGACACUAAGGCACGAAAGCGUAGGGAGCAAACGGGAUUAGAUACCCCAGUAGUC
rnacentral:rRNA from 1 species